AACACUUAGACUAUCAUGACUAUAGUCAUAAAGUAGGACAAUAAAUGAACAAUAGACAAACCUGGGUACAGAUAAGACACAUAACUACAAACAAUAGACCAUCAACACUGAAAACUAAAAGUAAAUUAGAAACAUGGACGACGAAAAAUAUGAAGUGGCGACAGCAUAGAGUGAAGAGAGCUUGCUUCUUGCUAGACACUCGCCGUGAAAACAAUUUGAUAUGAUGACAAGCUUUUGUUUCAACUUUUUUUUUUUUUUUUAAAUUUCCAACAUGAGGCAUUUGCCUCAUUUGCCUCCAUGUAGGUACGGCCCUGAUAUGUCUCCAUUAAAUGCAUUGAUCAUUUACAAAAAGGGGAGUCAAAACCCCGGAUCCCAUCCCCCUUCGAUCCGCCACUGAUUGUGAAUAUAAAUAUAAUUGUUACUUAAAAGUCAUAGACUAAUAGUAGUACUAGCUCCGAGCACCUGUUUUGGGAUAUAUACAGCUAAUUAACCGUAAAUAACUGCGAGAUAAUGAAUAACAAGUUGAUAAUUGUCUAUUCUCUGCUAAUUAAUGUACCUGCAAUUCACCCUGAUUCAUUUGUGAGACCACCGACACUAAUAAUAUUACCUCAAAGUUAGAGGUUCUCCGUUACUGGGAACUUCAUAUCGGAUCCGAUCAAUUUAUUGGUUCCAUUCCCCCUAGUAUUAAUGAUCCAUUUGCAGUGACGAUGACAAUCAAAGUUUAGGGCAAGAAAUAUAGAAGAUAAAGAAAAAUAUAAACAAUUACAACUGUACAGUAGAAAUGAUCAGCAAAACAAGAUAAACAGAAGACAACAAGGCCUAAAUGGUGAGACUUCUUGGUUUUCAUAAUCAUCAACAGGUCAAUACAGAAGAGGAAACUUAAGGUUAAUACUUUUCUACAUUGUGUGCUAAUUGGAUUAAUGUGAAAUGAAAUGUGUGCUUACCUGGAAAAAGAAAAUAGGAAAUUUCUACAAAAUGGUUGUAAACAAAAUGGAGUAAAAUCAUAGAUGCACAAGAACACAAUUGUGUAAUUGCAACAACCUACAUAUUCACUGAAGGAUUAUGGAGAAAUGUAGAAAAAAAUAGUAUUUUGUUGUCGAAAUAAACACCUGCUUUAUCCAUUCAUGUACAUAGCUCUGUCACAUCAAAUAUACAGAGGAAGAUGUUUGAAGAACAAAUUGCAAAAAUGUAUUCUCUACCAAUUGAAGGAAGAUGUCUGGUGGAUGGAAUUAUUUAUGCACUGAACUGUUAUGUAGGGGAUUGAAUAAUUGUACGCAGCAGCUUAAACAGGAGAAAAGUUAAAUUAACAUGAAAAGUGGUUAUUUUAUUUAAUCUGCAAAUAUGAGCACAAUAUUAAUAACAUCACAAAUAGUAUGAUAUUCAUAGCGUUUUGCUUAUUAUUGUAUUGUCUCAAACAGCUAGCCUAUUGUUUUUGUAUGUCAUGUUACUCAUCAGUUAACAUUUUAUUAAAGUUUUAAUUAUC